UUUUCAGUUUCACACUUUUUACACUUAAUAGUUAACCCUGGGUCAUUCUAAACCCUGGUUAAAGGAAAUCCUGGGUUUUCACACUGCUUAUACUUUAAUUAAUCUUUGGUAUUCAUAGUUAACCCUGAAUCAUUCCAAACCCCAGGUAAAAGGAAUUAAGGGGUUAUCCUCUAAUAGUAAUUCUGGGUUUUCAUAAGUUUAAUAUACAGUGGAGAUCAAUUUUAUGAAUACUUGAUUUUUCAUAAAUAAUGUAAUCUUCAUUGUUCAAAAUUUGAAGGAUUUUUAGUCCAUGCUAGUAGAACAGAGUUUUACAAAAUAACCAAGGCACUUCAACAAAAAGUCUUUAUUUUGUGGAAAACACAGUGCUCAAAAUUAGAGAACAGCAAUGAUUGUAGAAUGAAGAAAGAUUAUUAAAAAGGUUACAGCAGUCAAAAAUUAGUAGGAAGUGCUUUGAAUGACUUCUGCACAUCUGCAGCCGCAGGACAUCGCUAGUCUUUCACACUGUGCUGGUGUGAUCUUGAUCCACUCUUCUUCCAGUCUCUUCCACAGUGACUGUAGUGGGUUUCUUAGCCAUAACUCUGUCACCAUUGGGAGAUGCUUGCGGGGAAGGAACUGCAUGUUGCCGAAGGAGAUUCUGAUAAACAUUUGCAUUCAUCCUGCAAUGUAUCUUUAUAGGAGACCCAGGUUCUGAUGCAGAAAACAUCCCCCAACCCAUGACACUUCCUUCUCCACCUUUCACUGACUUCUUUACACACUUUGGCUUCAGUCUUUCCCCAGCUUAAAUAAUGUCUCCCAAAUUGAACUUGCUUUCAUCACUAAAGUGAACUCUCUCCACACAACAUGCUCCACAGCAAAGAUCCUUAUCCUGUUCAGAGCUGAACUGGGGAGCAAUUCCAGCUGCAGUGCUGAACCGAUUCCCCAUUGAGAUUCUCUUGCGCUCCUUUGGCACCAAGGACCACCCCGUUGCACCCAGGGAUGAGAUAUUUGAGUAUAUUAUAUUCAGAGGAAGUGACAUCAAAGACCUGACGGUGUGUGAACCUCCCAAACCGACAUGCUCUCUGCCUCAGGACCCCGCCAUUGUUCAGGCACGGAUGUCCCGAAACCAAGCGUACCAGAGUCCAGUCAGUCCAGAGGAGGAAACGGGGACACUUCUCUGUAUAACACGUCUGCUGAAAAGCCUUUCACCGCAGUCAUGUUGUGCUGUUGGAUGCUAAAACUGCAUGAUUCUUAUAAGAGCUUUGUCCAGCUGUAUUUCUCACGCAUCCACACCUUGGCUUUUAGCAAACUCCUUUCUUAUAGAGGAACAUCUGAAUGGUGAAUCUCAUGCAACCUGAUGAGUGUUUCACCCUACGAUUCAAAAGAACAAAUGCAUUUAAGAAACUGGUUUUUUUGGACCAGUAGGCUUCAUGUGUGACAUUAUUUUCACUAAAGAAAGUUUUAUUUGAAAGGUCUCAUUGUAAUUGAAAUAGUUGUACUUGUACUUUACUGAUCUGCUGAUGUUAUUAAUUAAAACUGUAACGGGAGCACCUAAUUGUCUUGAAAAUGUGCACAUAUUGUUUUUUUAUUUUGGUGGAAUGGUGACCUGAGUAUGCUUUCAUGAGAUUCACUCAGUAUGCUGAAUUUGCUCAUAUCUCCUCUGUGAGAAAAAGCCUGUGUGUUUUUAUGAUUCUUGGGUGACUACAAGUUAUAGCCUACCUUUAUUUUAAUUUAGCUUGAUUACUUCUCAAUAGACAAUGGCUUUUUUUCUGCACACCAUCAACUAAACCUAACUAAAGUCUG